rnacentral:tRNA from 1 species
GCGCCCGUAGCUCAACUGGAUAGAGCAACGGCCUUCUAAGCCGUAGGUUGCAGGUUCGAGCCCUGCCGGGUGCGCCA